AACAUCGCGCACCUGCGGGAACCUGCGGAGGGAUCAUUACAGAGUUGCAAAACUCCCUAAACCAUUGUGAACGUUACCUAAACCGUUGCUUCGGCGGGCGGCCCGGGUCCUUCCCGGCGCCCCUCGGCCCUCGCGGGCGCCCGCCGGAGGUAAACCAAACUAUUGCAUUGUAUGGCCUCUCUGAGUCUUCUGUACUGAAUAAGUCAAAACUUUUAACAACGGAUCUCAGAUCGGAGAGCA
rnacentral:misc_RNA from 1 species